rnacentral:lncRNA from 1 species
UAUUUAAACCUCUCGUUUCCAUGUGAUUAACCUCUGUGUUAUCAUAGGGUUUGUCUAUAGACACACAUAUCAUAGGGUUUGUCUAUAGACACACAUGAUUGCUUCUUUAAAGCGUAAUUGGGUUACCAACCAUUUUACACCAAUUGGAUUAACCUACGUUAACCUAGCAACAUUAAAUUCCCUUUGUAAAUUAGGGAGUUUAACUAAAAGAAUGAUGAAAAAUGACUUCCCUCUUUCCAUUGAUUUUGUGAAUCAACUUCAAAUUGGGGAAUAUUUUGACAUUAAAUGGCAUGAAAUUAAAUAGAGUAUUGGUAAGUAUUCAUUUUUGAGGACCAACAUAAGGAAAUACAUAUAAUUCAUCAACGCGGAACAUCUAUUUUGGGUCUGAGUAGUGGCUAUUACCUACAAACAGGCUUUUUGGUCACAAGAGAAUUGCUACGGAUGACUUUUAACACAUUGCUUAGCAAAUUCUUCAUUUACUAAGAAUUUUCUUUUCCAGGGUCAACCAACAGUUUCUUCUUAUAAGUAGAAUGUAUAAAAUGCUGUUUUGCACAAUAAAAUCUGACUUUUCUCUCAUUAUCUUAUUUUGUUUAGCUUAUCCAACAAAAGUAUUAACAUAUACAUUAACAACGUCGAAAGUAGCCUACUUUAAGAGAAAAUAUGCAGAAGAAGAAGAUUUACAUCAAGAUUACCAUGGGUAUUUUCCAAAAGUAAGGGUUUGCUUAUCAUUAUUUGUUCCUUUUUAUGAGUCUUGUCAAUAGCAAAAAGCUCUAGUUUUCUUUUUUUCUAAAAAUAGAUAAUGAUGUAUUUGCUUUCCAGCACCUGAUAUUGCCUGAGGACAGGACUUGCAUUCUCAAACUUUCUCUGGAGAAGCUCAGGUUUCUUGAAGACCCAGAAACCUACUUAAGAAGGUCUGUGUUAAUUAACAAUUUGCUGAGGAAGAUACAUCUAGAGACGGAGAAAGAGAGCUAUGAAUACUUUAAAGAAGCUCCCUGUUAUAAGACUGCUUAUUCUGAUACAAGAAAACGGCUGAAGUUCAUGGUACAGGAAUGCUGUUCUCAGUCUCUUUAUUAUGAAGAGCUGCAUUCAUAUCAUAUUGUGCCUUAUGCUUCGGAGAAUGCCAUUUAUGGGAUGGGCUACACUAGCAGCCACUUGGAGCAAAAUUCUCAGUUGCUUAUUUAUAAAAUGAAUUAAAGUAACUGUUAAGUUCAUUGAUACUUUGUUUCUAAAUGCCUGACCUGUUUUAGUGAAGAUAUUGAAAAAAGGCACUAAUUACCAGUGCACUUGAGAUCAAAGAUGGCAUGCACGCUGAACUGAGUGGAAAGAACCCUGG